GCCUUGAUUGUAUAGUGGUUAGUAGAUUGCGUUGUGGCCGCAGUAACCCAGGUUCGAUUCCUGGUCACGGCA
rnacentral:tRNA from 1 species